AACGAACGCUGGCGGCAUGCCUAACACAUGCAAGUCGAACGAAGGCUUCGGCCUUAGUGGCGCACGGGUGCGUAACGCGUGGGAAUCUGCCCUUUGGUUCGGAAUAACAGCUGGAAACGGCUGCUAAUACCGGAUGAUGACGAAAGUCCAAAGAUUUAUCGCCAGAGGAUGAGCCCGCGUUGGAUUAGGUAGUUGGUGGGGUAAAGGCCUACCAAGCCGACGAUCCAUAGCUGGUCUGAGAGGAUGAUCAGCCACACUGGGACUGAGACACGGCCCAGACUCCUACGGGAAGCAGCAGUGGGGAAUAUUGGACAAUGGGCGCAAGCCUAAUCCAGCAAUGCCGCGUGAGUGAUGAAGGCCCUAGGGUUGUAAAGCUCUUUUACCCGGGAAGAUAAUGACUGUACCGGGAGAAUAAGCCCCGGCUAACUCCGUG
rnacentral:rRNA from 1 species